GCUCAGGUAGUUCAAUGGCAGAACGUCAGGACCUCAUCUGGGUCGGGGUCGCUCCCUAGACCGGGAGCGCUUGCCAAUGUGUAGGUGUUCUAGGUCUCCCGGACUGAUCAACUUGAAGAUAACGGUUCGAAACCGUUCUUGAGCA